rnacentral:rRNA from 1 species
GACGAACGCUGGCGGCGUGCUUAACACAUGCAAGUCGAACGGAAAGGCCCUGCUUUUGUGGGGUGCUCGAGUGGCGAACGGGUGAGUAACACGUGAGUAACCUGCCCUUGACUUUGGGAUAACUUCAGGAAACUGGGGCUAAUACCGGAUAGGAGCUCCUGCUGCAUGGUGGGGGUUGGAAAGUUUCGGCGGUUGGGGAUGGACUCGCGGCUUAUCAGCUUGUUGGUGGGGUAGUGGCUUACCAAGGCUUUGACGGGUAGCCGGCCUGAGAGGGUGACCGGCCACAUUGGGACUGAGGUUCGGCCCCGGCUCCUACGGGGGGGAAGAGGGGGGAAUAUUGCAAAAUGGGGGGAAGGCUGAUGCAGCAACGCCGCGGGCGGGAUGACGGCCUUCGGGUUGGAAACCGCUUUCGCCUGGGACGGAGGGUGAGUGACGGGAAUGGGUAAAGAAGGACCGGCUAAAUACGGU